UACAGAGACUGCAAGCGUUAUUCGGAUUCACUGGGCGUAAAGGGUGCGCAGGCGGUUGGGUGUGUCAGAUGUGAAAUCCCGAGGCUUAACCUCGGAACUGCGUCUGAAACUACUCGACUAGAGUACUGGAGAGGGUAACGGAAUUCACGGUGUAGCAGUGAAAUGCGUAGAUAUCGUGAGGAACACCAGAGGCGAAGGCGGUUACCUGGACAGUUACUGACGCUCAGGCACGAAAGCGUGGGGAGCAAAAGGG
rnacentral:rRNA from 1 species